GCAUGAUCUUUUUAGUCUACCAAAUACAUAUUCUUACAAUAUCUGCUACUCUCAUGCAUGCAUGAUUGCAUGUUCAAUCACAACACUGUGGUUAAAAACACCUGAAUUGCAUUUUGAUCCUGCUAUUUUAAAAUAUUGAACAAGCUAUUUUUCCUGAGAUUAAAGUCAUAUAAUUCGAGAAUUACAUUAUGUCAAGUUCCACCAAUCAUAAUUCAAAUAAAAUAAGUGGGGUUAACAAAUACAUGUUGCAAAAUUGCUAUCGAACACAUUGACAUUAAAAAUAAAUAAAUCGUAAGGAAAAAAAAAAUGAUGGUGAGCUUUGUUUGUCGUGUUACCAACCCUCCAAUCAAGCACUUGUAAGAUAGAAGCUUUGUGGGGAAGCUGCUGGUUGUCUUGGCCCCAUCCAGGUUUCCUGUAAAGAUAUUGCAGGUUUUUCCUGGCCUCCCUGAUGUUCCAGCUGUAGUAUGAGUG